CACUAUGGUCACUCAUGGACAGUUGAUUGGCUUUUUGACGUCAUAAUUAAUUGGUCACAAAUGACUUUUUUGUGUGCAGAACUGGAAGAUGACUCAGUUAGCUGCAGGACAUUUUCUCCCGCGCAUUGGAGUCCAAUCCUGGAUGUGUCAGAGGGAGCGAACUAUACCUUUUUACCUGGAGCUUAGGGGAUAAUCCAUGUUUAAGCCACAAAAACGAAAACAGAUCAUUAAAAAUAUAGGAUUCACAAAAACACUCGGUAGUCUUGCCAUCAUCCAUCGAGUACUGGUCUUGCUUUCUUUCUUUCUGCUUUUUGUAUUUCCAGCACCGUCGCAUAUUCAGUACCAUUGUUACUGGUUGUAAUACACUUUUUUUAGACCUCAUUCACCAGUAGCUUAUGUAUAAUGCAACCUGGUCACGGUCAGGGUUUUGUUGCAUUCUCAGCGGUUCUUUUACGUUCCCGGGAGACGGGACCGCCAUUUAACCCGUAGACAUCCGACCCCGAGGAAUUUACAAUCCCUAAUUGAAAGAUAAGAGUAUGUAUAUGGUAAAUAGGGCCAGGUAAGUAAAAGAUUGUUGCAGUAUUUCAAAGUAUAUGGAACCGUACUUCCAUAUCAAGCAUAAGUUGUGGCCAUUCUCAAGUGGCCAACAAAUACAUCAAUUAGAGGCUAGCCGUUGGCUGAUUAGGCUGCCUAACCUAAAGGAUGUGGCAUGCAUUUUCUUGGGUACGGCAAAACAAAAACGUAGGUCUAAGUUUGACUUCUCGGUGAAGUCUCGGUGUUUAAGAUAUCAUACUGUUCCAGCUACCAGCAUCAGUUGAAAUGCUUUUUGGAGGUCUAUCUAUUUAGCAAACUUCUAAGUAUACAUUAUCAAUUCUUUUUCUUCCUUAGAUUUCCUCCUCCAUGGGUCGUGAGGACGGCAGAACACCAACGCACAGUUGAAAAGGCUGCCUUGAAGCACAUGAGGAACCCCAUACCAGUCAGGCUUGCAUGAUGUUUUGGUCACUGGCCCACCCAAGAUACGAAGUUAUUAUUCACUGAAAUAUGAUGUCGUCUUUUAGUUUAUGAUGUACGCGUCAUUUCUGUGAUUGGGUAGAUUUUGACAUGUGAACCGGAAGUAGUUUGCUUUGAUGUGGAUAGUGUUGUCGGUCAAAAAAUAAAUUAAUUAAUUAAAAAAAAAAA